AAAAAAAAAAGUCGUGCUGCCGCCCUCCUACACUCUUCACUCGGCUCCGGUCCUGCUGUAUGUCUGAGCCUGCUGCGUGUGACGCUGUCACGGUUGCCUAGAGACAGACCGACGCUCCUCUCAAAACCCGUGCCUUUUAAAAAUGUCCGCUACUUCCGCUACUCCACCACGUCUUCAAAAGCGAAAACUUUUGGAAAAGUACAGACUUGAGUGGAAAGAGGAAAAUAUAUAUCCUUGGCUGCACAAUGUCUGUAAUAAAUUACAAUUAUUACAUAUAUUAGUAUUUAGUUUUCUGUUUACAAGGAGAACAGGCUGUCGCCUGACUAUAAUUACAUGUGUUUCCAAAUGUUUUUAUAAACAUCAUUUAUUAUAUUUUUCUUCUUCCUCCUCCUCCACCUUUGACCGAGGCACAAUCACUUUUUUUUUUUUUUUUAUUCUUUUGUGUAUUAAGGUCAGAAAGAUGCAGCGGAACGGCCCAAACAAAACAAACCUAAAAUGUAGUCAGGUGUGACGUCAGACGCUGAAAAGUUUGAGCUCUUCGCUUUAAAACCACCUGUUGUUGGAAGUUAUUCUUAAUCGCGGCUCGACCUGGUCUGGGCGAAUGUCACAGAUGGAGAGCUUCAGUUCAGAUGUCUGAAAUAAAUAGAUGCACUUGGAUUUCUGCACACGGAGGCCAGGUUGAAGUUGUCCACCGUCAAAGUACGCUCUGGAAACUGAAAGACAAGAUGUGUCAUCCUGAAGAUCUUCACACAGUAAGCGAUGAGUGACACAACAGCAGGUGCUCAGAGAACCGUGGAGAGUGCUUUCAUUUUGCCACUUAUACGACAAAUUACCCAGACAAUGGACCUGGCAAGGCAGGGCUCUAAUUCAAUUCCAACUGUUGACUCUGGGCAUUCGCCUGCAUGCAUUCACCAGCCUCGGGAAAGGAGAUUCCCCCCCAUCAAAAAUAAAAAAGACUGAGUGAAGGGGAGAAAAAAGUAAGAGGACGCAAACGCAGUCAAACAAAAUGAAAGGUAAUAUUCCUUAUCUGGCCAAAGACAGCAGCAGAUGAACUGGCCUAAUAUGAGCACAAAUAUGAUUUAGGGAUUCCAUGCUUCAGAGAGCCGACAACUCAAAGUGAUUUGGAUCAAUAGUGUUUGCAAGGCACAGCAGAAAUGAAGAGAUAAAGAGUGAAAAAGAGAGAAAAGGCAGGAACGAAGGCUGGAUGGAAAGAGGGGCAUUUCUCUGCGAGUCGAGCAAGUGAGCAGUAGGAGCAGAGCUGUAGUCAAAUUUCGCUGGUGUCAAAUUAAUUUCCGUGUUAUCUGGAAAUUCAAUUAGAAACCCCCCCUCCCUGCCCCCCCUUCGUCCCUCCUAUCCUCCUUUGUGAGUAAGAGAGUGUCGGACAUCCCAGCGUGACAGAUUACACUGCUCAGAGUGCAUAUCAGGCCGAAGUGUUGAGGCCCACUAAUCCGCCCUCUAAUUCUCAAUUAGUGUAAAAUGAGGCCAUAAAUCACGCAGACAGGCCGAUCGAUGGAAACGUUGUUUUAGGAGUGAUUGGCAGCCUCCCCAAAGGUUACUGUUUAAGUUGGUUUAAGGUUACAGCUCUCUCAAGCUGAAGGCUGACCGUAUGCGUGUGUCUGUGUGUGCGUGUGUUGGCUUGGCUUGUGGUUGGGGAGGGCUGGGCGGUUGAACUCAAUCUAUAUGAUGCAGGGCCUUGGUCCUUUGGGGAUACAGCAGAGGGACAGCACCAAUUUUUAGCCCAUCAGCCGUCCAAUUUUUCUCCUUUUCAUACCUGCUGUAGUAAAUGAGAAACAAAUUAAAUUUCACCCCACUAUCUCCACAGAAACCAUUUAAAUCCUUUAUGGAAACCAAAUUGUCCCCAGACAAAUCGCCCCUGGUUCUGUGGAAAUACACUAUGGCGCUGCAACCGAAAUAAAUUUGUGUCACUCUGGAUAUGGCAUUGUCUGUAAUGCCAUUCAUUGGGAGAUACUGUUGAAAGAGAGAGGGGAAUAAAAUAAGGGGCACUUUUGGAGGAACAAAAAGGAAGAAAAGGCUCCAGCUCUGGCAUUCUCUUCCUUACCCUCCUCUUCAUCCCUCUGUCUUUGCAUGCCUUCUCCCUUGUGCCCACUUUUCCCCCUGCGUAGUGUUAUUAAUUUUCGGCCAGAGUUUUUGCAUUCAUGAGGCUGAGAUUGAAAUGGAAAUGAGGGCUGGCUGAGCGAGCGAAGUGAGCAGCCUCAGCAGUGGCCGCAGCCAAACGAGGCCCCCAGUGCGGCGCACCGGCACCGGCACUGAGCCGACACGUGUCAGAGACAGAGGGGACUCGACUGCCACCAUCCAGCCUCUCAUUCCCCCAGAUUACCAGCCCCUGACAUCAAUCACUGCAUCAGGGAAACAAUGCAUAAAACAGCCCCAACAAGGGCGAUGAAAAAUCACUGACAGUGCAGGAGUGGAGGACGAGGAGGGGGAGCACAGGGGAGGAGUGGGGAGAGGGGGUGAGAGGGAGAGAGGCAGAGGAGGGAAGAAAGGAAAGGGAAAUAAGACAUUGAGAAAGUGACAAAGAAAAAGGACAUUCAGUUGUAAUUAAAAAUAACAACAUUAAAAUUUUUGUCAGUGAAAGGAGGUUUGAAAUAAAUAUCUUGUAAAACUUCAUACUAAAUCAUACUAAAACUUUUAAAAUUAUAUACAAUUUUUAUAAUCAGGCCUACUGGCCAACUCCUUAUGAUGAGAACGAGACGCAGGUCGACACAGUGUUUAAAGAAAAACAUUAGAAUUCUGUAAAAAAGGAAUUGUGUGAUAACACUACUUACCUAACUAAGCUAAAUAAUCCACUGGCGCGAGAUCUACAACCACGUCAUGUUUGGUUAUGACCAGUUGGAGAAAACGGCCUUCACAGCAGUGACUUUGUAGAACUGGCUUUAGGGUUUUUGUUGAUAUUCAAUGUAAAUCUUGGAAAUGACCAGUUGUCUCUGCUGAACUGUGUCUAUAAUAGUGUAGGAUUUACCACAAUAAAAACGCCUUAACUUCACCAUUUAAAGUACGACAUCAACUAUGUACCAUACAUUUGAAGUAUUUGUAAUCUUAAGGACUUAGGGUCUCUGUAUUAAAGGCUCAUAAUGUUCUCCACGUUUUUUUUGCUUCCAUUUGUGCAGUGGCUUCAUCACCGCUCUUUAACUGAACACAGCAGUGGUCUGUGACAGGCUCUGUUUCACAUCAUCAACACCAUCAUAAACUCUGUCAGAGGAUCUGUUGUUAAUUCAUGAAUUGUUUUUCAUCAAGUUCACUUACUUUUGACCAGAAGUUUUUUUGUUUGUUCUUUUCUAACCAUCAUAAACCAUCGAGUGCUCAUCACAAUUGUGUUUUUUAGACAAAUCUUUAAAGUGUUCUUUCCCUGAUUUGACUUUGGAAUAUUUUCCGCUGCUACAGUCAACUCUGCUGUUCGCACUUGGAGUCAUCCUGUGUGACAGUUGCAUCAGACAUCAGGUUUAUGUUUGACCUAAUCAGGACCACUGUUGAUGACGUAACUAAAAUUUAUGAGCCAGUGGAAUUCCAUUUUAGCCUUGUUCAUAUGAUCUUUAAUAACUGUGUGUUCUUUUGAUUUAUUUUGGGUCUCUCCCUCCCCCUGCAGAGUUGUUCAGUCUCUGCUUUGUGUCCCCUGUAACCAAAAGCUAAUGUGCUGAAAGGCUGGUUCUUGUCUACCUGAACUGAUCUUGGUCAUGAAGAGAAGAGAGUUAGCAGCUCCUGAAGAGAGAUGAGAGGACCUCAGGGGGAUUCACUCUGCUUCCCUCUGUCUACUGAGGAAUGGAAAGAGAAAGAGGUAGAAAGACCCUCAGACAGUGACAGCCCCAACCAAACCACAUCUCAUAAUUUAAUUAGGAUACGAUGACAAUCUUUCUUUAUAGUCAGUUUUCAGAGGCAGCCAAGGGGCGGGAGGUUUUUUUUUUUUGUUUUUUUUCUUUUCUUUUUUGGGCACAUCUAUGCCAUCUAGUGCUGGUUUCAGUGGAAGCGAGAAAAACUGUCACAAGAUCAAAAGAACUCUCCAUGUAAUUAGAGGCUAAUGAGAGAUAUCCUGUGUUUAGACAGUGUUCACAACACUUAUAUUAAAGGUAAAGGAUACGUCAUUUAACAUUUUAAAAUGAAAUGUGAUCACAGAUUGGCUCCACUUUAACUGUUACUCAGUAAGGAGUACUGAGGCAUUUCACCAACUCUUAUAUAGUAUUUAUGGAAGUCUAAGUACUAAUGUCCACUUGUUCCCUAUAAACCCUACAUCCUGUCAGUAAGGAAACUGUCAGUAAGGAAACUGUGAUUUCUGUCUUCAUUGUUUUCUGGCAACAAAGGUACAUUUAAUUAAAGUGAAAUAUUGUUGUCCUUCUUCAGAUUUAACAUGAAUAAUUAGAACACAGUCCAGUGCACAUCCUUCAUAUUUCACCCUGAUACUUGGUGGUACAGCCCACCCGUCAAGUCACAGGAACACCUUCCAUCUGGAUAAGAAUUGCAUCAGAAACAGAGCUGUUGUCAGAGCCUUUGAAAUAAUAAUGUGGGAAAUGUUAAGGCCUCAGGAUGCGACAACACCUCAUUACAGCUCUGAGUAUUUUUUUGCAAAAGACAACACACGCUGGAAUGAAUAGGAAACAUGAACGACUGUGUUAUUUAUAUUCACCCUUUACAUCAAAUUGUUGCUUUCCCACAAAAGCCUGAAACAGCAGUGGGUUUGAACUCGGGGUUAAUGAAAAAGUCCCCGGCGUCAAGUUACCUGCGCGUCUGCAGGCGAGACUCGUCUGUCGGAACAAACAUUUCAUUUGUGCGCCACAUGUUCCUCAGACGAGACCCACAGUAAAAGUUGUUCAAUAAAUUUUACCGUCUGUUUUACAGACCUCCCCUUUCCCCCUUGUGUCAUUGUUUUUAAUUGAAAGUAGAUUCUCACUCAGCUAUAAACAUCAUUCCACCCAAUCAGAGCUUGUUUAGAUCAAAUGCUCGUUUCAGUGGGCCGCGUUCUAACAGAUGCCUUCAACCUCGCCUUGUCUCCCCGGCUCUCGUACUGUUAAACGCUCUGGUAUACUCUUUCAAGGUCGGUGAGAUGGGCUGUCACUGUAUUCUGUCAGCAAAGCGCAAUAUUUCUUCAGGAGUUCUGAACCUGGCACGCAGCGGGGUAGAAAUGAAAAUAAGGCGGUACAUAAACGGAGGGAGUUAGCCGUAAAUCACCUAACACGCAGAGGAGGCAGCAGGUAGAGGCGCUGUCGGCUGUCACAGCACCUCCCCUGCGAGGCAGCUUGGACACCAGCCAUCAUGCUUUAAUCAAACUGCACAUAAUAGACAUGUCUCGGCUCUUUAUGAUACACACACACACACACACACUAGCGCGCACUGCUGCACGCACACUCAGCAGAGAAGCUGGCUUUCAGACUCUUCCAGCUUGUGCUAUUUAAAUGUGACUUAUGUUUAUUUGUUUGGGUGUCAGAGGUGAUUCUUUUGUGGUAUCCUUAAAGCAAUCUUUGAUGCACUAAAAUCAGUGGUUCACACACACGCACACUCACACACACUCACGGAGAUGCACACUUCUUCAAAGGUCGGUUGUCUUUUCUGUGAUAUGAGGCUGGUGGUAUUUUUUUUUUUUUUUUUUGACAUGCUGUGUGUCAAACGAUAAUGUUAUUGUUGGCAAGGCUUUUUUAUAGCAGCAUAAUUUUAUCCUGGCUUUUUCUUUUCCUUUCUUUAAUUAAACAGUAGAUGUCUUGCAUGUCUGUGGCUUUGCUGCUAAGUGCGGUUUGAAAGCUAACACCAAACAGAUGGGGAAAGAUUUGUAUCCCUGUGAGAGCACGAUUGCACAAACCACUGAAACAACACAGAACUUCAUCAUAAACUCAUAAUAAAAUUGUCCCAAUACAUGCAGCUACACUACCGACUGUUUUGAGUGCGCAAGUUAGAAGUUUACUGAUUGGAUUCAGGUCAUGAUCAUAUUUGUAAUCCGAAUAGCACAAAAUAUGGCUCUAGGGCCAGUAGUGGUACUUAACAGGAUUUACACAGCCUUGAUAGGUAAUUUAAAUUUUCCUUUUUUUUUUUUUUCCUCCCUAAAAUGUAAAACGAAACCUACAAUUUUAUUUUGGAUCAUUUUCAGAACUAACAGUGGGUCCUUUCUGGAGCUGUUGUCUUUGAAUUUAAAUUAUUACUGGUAAACCAAUUGCCAUUUUUACUUUAUUUUUACAUUUGAGCUUUUCUGUGUUGCUCUUUAAAAGCUAAACUUGUAAUUUUCAUCUGCUCGUCUAUACCACCUAAUUCCUUUCCCAAGCUACGUCAGCAGUCAUUGGUCAAAGACAAAGAUACAUUCAUUGGGGUGUGUUACAUUUUAUUACAAUACUAAUUUGCUGAAUUUACUAAAUACAUUUUUUUCACAUAGUUGUCAAGUAUUGAGACUCUUUAAAGGAACCAACUCUCCUGCUCCAGGUUCUUGAGUCGUGUAUUUCAGAACAGCUUGUGUUACAAACCCUCUCCCCAGAACCAGAAUUUCAACUUAUUUUUACUACUUUGAAAAUGUCAAAAACGUUAUCAGCCAAUAAAGAGGUACUGCAUUGCUCUUGAAAGUCCACCAGGCCGUAUCAUCUUACACAAAAGUAGGACUUUAUGAAAGGGGAAAAAGACCUCGACUGCUCUUGCUCCCUUUGACUUGUAGUGAUGUGCUUAAUGGUUCUCUCAUCAUGUGGGUGGUUCAUUGUAAAGCACUUCUUCCAGUAAAUGAUUAGUGCAUUCACCUCUAAAGCAGCGUUGAUUGGCUAGAAGCUCUUCAAACGCAAGUGUCCUCAAAAGGCCUGGAGGUCAAAUCCUCCAGUCUGACUUUGAACUGUCUAUUUCUCUGUAGAUC